GACGAACGCUGGCGGCGUGCUUAACACAUGCAAGUCGAACGCGCCUGUCCUCUGGGUUUCUGGGGGGUGGGUGAGUGGCGAACGGGUGAGUAACACGUGAGUAACCUGCCCCCUUCUUCGGGAUAACGGUCUGAAAGGGCUGCUAAUACCGGGUAUUCACUGGUCUCCGCAUGGGGUCUGGGGGGAAGGUUUUUUUCUGGUGGGGGAUGGGCUCGCGGCCUAUCAGCUUGUUGGUGGGGUGAUGGCCCACCAAGGCUUUGACGGGUAGCCGGCCUGAGAGGGUGACCGGUCACAUUGGGACUGAGAUACGGCCCAGACUCCUACGGGAGGCAGCAGUGGGGAAUAUUGCACAAUGGGCGCAAGCCUGAUGCAGCGACGCCGCGUGAGGGAUGGAGGCCUUCGGGUUGUGAACCUCUUUCGCCCGUGGUCAAGCCGCGACGUGGGUCGUGGUGAGGGUAGUGGGUAAAGAAGCGCCGGCUAACUACGUG
rnacentral:rRNA from 1 species